rnacentral:siRNA from 1 species
UCUUAUGAUGGCCGAGUGUUGC